rnacentral:rRNA from 1 species
CCCCUAGACGUUCUGGGCUGCACGCGCGCUACAAUAAUACGCACAGCGAGUAUCACCGAGCUCGAAAGGGCAAGGUAAACAAUAGAAAAGGUACUGUAAUGGUUAUAGAUCCCUGUAAUUAUUGAUCUUCAACGAGGAAUUCCUAGUAAGUAUGUGUCAUCAUCACGCACUGAUUACGUCCCUGCCCUUUGUACACACCGCCCGUCGCUCCUACCGAUUGAGUGAGCCGAUGAAACUGCCGGAUGUGGACUAUUCAUAGUCUGCAGAAGAUAUUUGAAUCGUAGCGCUUAGAGGAAGGAGAAGUCGUAACA